rnacentral:lncRNA from 1 species
CAGCAAUACAAAAGAAGUAAAAAAAGCCAUGCUUCUAGCUAUGCAUGCACCACAGACCUAUCUACUUCUUUCAUCUGUGGAAUUCCAAUAUUGUUGGAAAUGCAAGAAACAUUCACAAAGUGAGUUUUCUGGUCUUCCUUAAAGAACUGUCUCUUCUCAACUCCGUACAACAUCCAGCACAAUGGGAUUUGAAGCAUGAGCAGGACCAAAGGAGAUAUAACAUCUGCCCAUCAGCCUUGUCUAUAUUCUUAUCGUGCCAUGGAUAAACGGGAAAUCUUGCAAGAUUUUUUUUUGCCUUAAAAAUUGCUGUGUACUAAAAAAAAAAUAUGGUGUGAUGUGUGUCUUAUGUACUGAUCUUGUUGUCAACUUUUAAAAGUAUUUGUGUCUAUCUGCUUGGACCCAUCUAAAUGCAUUUACUUAGCUGAAAAAUUGUACGGCCAAUUCUUAGUAAGAGUGAUGUUGGUAGAUACCAUUUAAAUAUUUCACAAUAUUGCAAUCGAAAUAAAUUGUGAGCCUUUUAUCCUUUUGAGUACUUC